GACGAACGCUGGCGGCGUGCUUAACACAUGCAAGUCGAACGGAAAGGCCCUGCUUUUGUGGGGUGCUCGAGUGGCGAACGGGUGCGUAACACGUGAGUAACCUGCUCUUGACUUUGGGAUAACUUCAGGAAACUGGGGCUAAUAUCGGACAGGAGCCCCCGUUGCAUGGAGGGGGUUGGAAAGUUUCGGCGGUCGGGGAUGGAUUCGCGGCUUACCAGCUUGUUGGUGGGGUAGUGGCUUACCAAGGCUUUGACGGGUAGCCGGCCUGAGAGGGUGACCGGCCACAUGAGGACUGAGAGACGGCGCAGACGGCAACGGGGGGCAGCAGUGGGAAGUAUUGCACAAUGAGCGGGAGCCUGAUGCGGCAGCGCCGCGUGCGGAAUGACGUCCUUCGGGUUAUGAACCGCAUUCGCCUAAGACGAAGCGUGAGUGACGGUAAUGAAUGAAGAAGCACCGGCUAACUACGUG
rnacentral:rRNA from 1 species